rnacentral:rRNA from 1 species
UACGGGGGGGGCAAGCGUUGUUCGGAAUUACUGGGCGUAAAGCGUGCGCAGGCGGUUUGUUAAGUCCGUUGUGAAAGCCCCGAGCUCAACUUGGGAAUUGCAGUGGAUACUGGCAGGCUGGAGUACGGUAGAGGAAGGUGGAAUUCCCGGUGUAGCAGUGAAAUGCGUAGAUAUCGGGAGGAACACCAGUGGCGAAGGCGGCCUUCUGGACCAGUACUGACGCUCAUGCACGAAAGCGUGGGGAGCAAACAGG